rnacentral:rRNA from 1 species
AACAGCUAUAAUUUACUUGAUCUUGACACAAUCCUACUUGGAUAACUGUGGUAAUUCUAGAGCUAAUACAUGCAUUAAAGCUCUGACCUCACGGGAAGAGUGCAUUUAUUAGAACAAAACCAAGCGGCUUCGGCUGUUUCUGGUUGACUCAUAGUAACUGAGCUGAUCGCAUGGUCUUGCACCGGCGACGUGUCUUUCAAGUAUCUGCCGUAUCAACUUUCGAUGGUAGUGUAUCUGACUACCAUGGUGAUCACGCGUAACGGAGAAUAAGGGUUCGGCUCCGGAGAGUUCGCCUGAGAAAUCGCGAACACAUCUAAGGAAGGCAGCAGGCGCGAAAAUUACCCACUCUCAGCACGAGGAGGUAGUGACGAAAAAUAACGAGACCGUUCUCUUAUGAGGCCGGUCAUCGGAAUGGGUACAAUUUAAACCCUUUAACGAGUAUCUAUGAGAGGGCAAGUCUGGUGCCAGCAGCCGCGGUAAUUCCAGCUCUCAAAGUGCAUAGAAUUAUUGCUGCGGUUAAAAAGCUCGUAGUUGGAUCUGUGCCAUAGGACGUGGUCCACCUUCGGGUGCGUACUACGCUCCUAGGCUUUUUGCUGGUUUUCCCGUCGUAGCCUUCACUGGUUGCGGCGGGUGGCUGGCGAGUUUACUUUGAGAAAAUCAGAGUGCUCAAUACAGGCGUAUCGCUUGAAUGAUUGUGCAUGGAAUAAUAGAAAAGGAUUUCGGUCCUCUUUUAUUGGUUUUGUGGACUGAGAUAAUGGUUAACAGGGACAAACGGGGGCAUUCGUAUCUCUGCGUGAGAGGUGAAAUUCUUGGACCGUAGAGAGACGCCCUACUGCGAAAGCAUUUGCCAAGAAUGUCUUCUA